rnacentral:rRNA from 1 species
AUGGAAAAGAAUGGUUGCUCCUCGUCAUCAAAUGCUUUCCUCAGCAUCCAUUUCUCAAUUCUUCCAAGAUCAGGCCGGAUCUGUAACAUCAGAUAUAGUAAUUGUCUAAAAGUAGAAACUAGGAAGACAUUUUACAACAAUAUGGAAUGGCACACGUGCUUCGAGGCCCCAUGCAGAUGUUGCCUUGUUGGCCCUCAAGCAAUCGUACUGAUGCAGAGCUUUGAUCUACAGUGUAAUCAUUAUGUCAGGGUGUCUGAAUCUGCCAUUUUUCUGAAAAUUUCUUUCCUAUUCACCUUUUGA